GAUGAAGAACGUAGCGAAAUGCGAUAAGUAGUGAGAAUUGCAGAAUUCAGUGAAUCAUCGAAUCUUUGAACGCACAUUGCGCCCCUCGGUAUUCCGUGGGGCACGCCUGUUCGAGCGUCAUUUACACCCUCAAGCGCAGCUUGGUGUUGGGCGUCUGUCCCGCUCUCCGUAGCGCGGACUCGCCUCAAAGUCAUUGGCGGCGGUCGUGCCGGCUCCUCGCGCAGCACAUUUGCGCUUCUCGGAGGCCCGGCGGAUCGGCAUCCAGCAAGCUACUUUUUAUGACUUGACCUCGGAUCAGGUGAGGAUACCCGCUGAACUUAAGCAUAUCAAUAAGCGGAGGA
rnacentral:misc_RNA from 1 species